ACUCAACUGAAGAGUCCCAAAUAAGACGAAACGUCCGUUCUAAAU
rfam:Schistosoma margrebowiei strain Zambia genome assembly, scaffold: SMRZ_contig0001324